CGGGGGGGGCAAGCGUUGUUCGGAAUUACUGGGCGUAAAGGGCUUGUAGGCGGCCAACUAAGUCCGACGUGAAAUCCCCAGGCUUAACCUGGGAACUGCGUCGGAUACUGGAUGGCUUGAAUCCGGGAGAGGGAUGCGGAAUUCCAGGUGUAGCGGUGAAAUGCGUAGAUAUCUGGAGGAACACCGGUGGCGAAGGCGGCAUCCUGGACCGGCAUUGGCGCUGAAAAGCGAAAGCCAGGGGAGCAAACGGGAUUAGAUACCCCGGUAGUCCUGGCCCUAAACGAUGAAUGUUUGGUGUGGCGGGUAUCGAUCCCUGCCGUGCCGAAGCUAACGCAUUAAACAUUCCGCCUGGGGAGUACGGUCGCAAGGCUG
rnacentral:rRNA from 1 species